ACUGAACAAAUAUGUAUUGAACCAGUGCAGGGUCUACAGUAGGUGCUCAACAUACACAAGAGGAUGUGAAUGACGUGGAGAAAGGAAGUACAGAUAUUCCACUGAGGUUGAGAAGCUCCUGUAAAUACUAAAAACAGCAUCACCGGGGUGCGAGGUUCUAGCAAGAUUAAUAACCUUUACGCCCAAAUUCAGACGUGGCCAACUGCAUCUGGGCUGUGGGAAACUGGAAUCUGGGAACUUGACCCUGUUUGCAGCAGGCGGGAGGAGCACAGGGGAGGUGUGUGAGUGUGUGUGUCUCUUCCCCGCUUCAGCCACAGGCCGCAGGAGCUGACAAGGCCAAGUCCCCGCCCCCCUCAGCUGUCACCCUGUCAAAACAAAGCCGCUGCUGACAGCGCAGGGCCAGCCUGCCCCGCGGCCUCGGGCAGUGCUCCCACCCCAGGAGCACGGCGCCCACAUCUGGAUCCGCAUUUAAGGGGCGACGGGGUGCCCGGAGCUGGGGUGGAGAGAGGAUGGCCAGAAACGCGCGUCCUCAAACUAAGCAGUAGCGCCCGCCGCGCUGGGCCGUCACCUUGCCAAAUCCUGUUUACACCCCGAGAGGCUGGGGCAGCGUUUCAACUAAACAAAUACUUCUCCGUCCACCUUCUCUCUUUUAAUUGAGAACGCUUUCAUCCUGUAAUCAAUUUCUGGAUUGCAUCUGCCAGAAGAAGGAAAAGACUGUUAAUCGAUAUUUUCUGUAAUUUUUGUUUGAAAGUGCUGGUUGUUAAAAGAACUGUCGUCCCAAAAGCAGGGUCACAAUGAAAACUAAGCGCAGUGGGAAAAGUUUGCUAAUAGGUCUCAUCUCUGCAGAGUGGGAGUAUAACCUCACUACUUUCUUUUCUAUAAUGUGCCAUAGUUUUCAAUUUUGAUAUCACCAGCAUGCAUAUUAACCAUGAAAAAAAAUUAAGCAGCAUCCAAAAGAAUGUGUUGAUUUUGGCCUCAAACUUCAAAAAAAAAAAAAGGAAAAAACUCGA